rnacentral:rRNA from 1 species
UACGUAGGGUGCGAGCGUUAAUCGGAAUUACUGGGCGUAAAGCGUGCGCAGGCGGUUUUGUAAGCCAGGUGUGAAAUCCCCGGGCUCAACCUGGGAAUGGCAUUUGGGACUGCAAGGCUGGAGUGCGGCAGAGGAGACUGGAAUUCCUGGUGUAGCAGUGAAAUGCGUAGAUAUGCGGAGGAACACCGAUGGCGAAGGCAAUCCCCUGGACCUGUACUGACGCUCAUGCACGAAAGCGUGGGGAGCAAACAGG